rnacentral:misc_RNA from 1 species
UCCGCUUUACAGCGGCAGUUUGUUCCGAGUCCCCGACUUUACUCGCUGGUAACAGAACAUGAGGGUUGCGCUCGUUGCGGGACUUAACCCAACAUCUCACGACACGAGCUGACGACAGCCAUGCAGCACCUGUGCAGGGACUCCGAAGAGGGGUCCUGGUUUCUCAGGACUUUCCCCUGCAUGUCAAGCCCAGGUAAGGUUCUUCGCGUUGCGUCGAAUUAAGCCACAUGCUCCACCGCUUGUGCGGGCCCCCGCCAAUUCCUUUGAGUUUUAGCCUUGCGGCCGUACUCCCCAGGCGGGGCAUUUAAUGCGUUAGCGCCGGCACGGGAGGAGUCGACACCUCCCACACCUAAUGCCCAUCGUUUACGGCGUGGACUAC